rnacentral:tRNA from 1 species
AGAGAAUUGACCGAGCGGUUUAAGGUGGUGAGCUUGAAACUUACUUGAUAGAAAUCUAUCACAUCCGUUCGAAUCGGAUAUUCUCUG